AUUGAACGCUGGCGGCAGGCCUAACGCAUGCAAGUCGAGCGCGAAAGUUCUUCGGAAUGAGUAAAGCGGCGGACGGGUGAGUAAUACAUGGGAAUCUGCCUGGUAGUGGGGGACAACGUUUCGAAAGGAACGCUAAUACCGCAUACGCCCUACGGGGAAAGGGGGGAGUCGCAAGACCUCUCGCUAUCAGAUGAGCCCAU
rnacentral:rRNA from 1 species